CCGGCGCACGGGUGAGUAACGCGUAUGCAACCUGUCCGUUACAGGGGGAUAGCCCAUGGAAACGUGGAUUAACACUCCAUAAUAUAAUAUAGAGGCAUCUUUGUAUUAUUAAAUAUUCAUAGGUAACGGUUGGGCAUGCGUCCUAUUAGAUAGUUGGGGGGGUAACGGCCCACCAAGUCGAUGAUAGGUAGGGGUUCUGAGAGGAAGGUCCCCCACACUGGUACUGAGACACGGACCAGACUCCUACGGGAGGCAGCAGUGAGGAAUAUUGGUCAAUGGGCGAGAGCCUGAAUCAGCCAAGUCGCGUGAGGGAUGACUGCCCUAUGGGUUGUAAACCUCUUUUGUAUGGGGGGAAUAAGCUUUACGAGUAGAGUGAUGACAGUACCAUACGAAUAAGCAUCGGCUAACUCCGUGCCAGCAGCCGCGGUAAUACGGAGGAUGCGAGCGUUAUCCGGAUUUAUUGGGUUUAAAGGGUGCGUAGGCGGCAUUAUAAGUUAGUGGUAAAAUAUUGGGGCUUCACCUCACUACGCCAUUAAUACUGUAGAGCUAGAGAACAGACGAGGUAGGCGGAAUAAGUUAAGUAGCGGUGAAAUGCAUAGAUAUAACUUAGAACACCGAUAGCGAAGGCAGCUUACCAGACUGAGUCUGACGCUGAUGCACGAGAGCAUGGGUAGCGAACAGGAUUAGAUACCCUGGUAGU
rnacentral:rRNA from 1 species